GGGUUGUGAGGUUAAGCGACUAAGCGUACACGGUGGAUGCCCUGGCAGUCAGAGGCGAUGAAGGACGUGCUAAUCUGCGAUAAGCGUCGGUAAGGUGAUAUGAACCGUUAUAACCGGCGAUUUCCGAAUGGGGAAACCCAGUGUGUUUCGACACACUAUCAUUAACUGAAUCCAUAGGUUAAUGAGGCGAACCGGGGGAACUGAAACAUCUAAGUACCCCGAGGAAAAGAAAUCAACCGAGAUUCCCCCAGUAGCGGCGAGCGAACGGGGAGCAGCCCAGAGCCUGAAUCAGUGUGUGUGUUAGUGGAAGCGUCUGGAAAGGCGCGCGAUACAGGGUGACAGCCCCGUACACAAAAAUGCACAUGCUGUGAGCUCGAUGAGUAGGGCGGGACACGUGGUAUCCUGUCUGAAUAUGGGGGGACCAUCCUCCAAGGCUAAAUACUCCUGACUGACCGAUAGUGAACCAGUACCGUGAGGGAAAGGCGAAAAGAACCCCGGCGAGGGGAGUGAAAAAGAACCUGAAACCGUGUACGUACAAGCAGUGGGAGCACAGAGCAAUCUGUGUGACUGCGUACCUUUUGUAUAAUGGGUCAGCGACUUAUAUUCUGUAGCAAGGUUAACCGAAUAGGGGAGCCGAAGGGAAACCGAGUCUUAACUGGGCGUUAAGUUGCAGGGUAUAGACCCGAAACCCGGUGAUCUAGCCAUGGGCAGGUUGAAGGUUGGGUAACACUAACUGGAGGACCGAACCGACUAAUGUUGAAAAAUUAGCGGAUGACUUGUGGCUGGGGGUGAAAGGCCAAUCAAACCGGGAGAUAGCUGGUUCUCCCCGAAAGCUAUUUAGGUAGCGCCUCGUGAAUUCAUCUCCGGGGGUAGAGCACUGUUUCGGCAAGGGGGUCAUCCCGACUUACCAACCCGAUGCAAACUGCGAAUACCGGAGAAUGUUAUCACGGGAGACACACGGCGGGUGCUAACGUCCGUCGUGAAGAGGGAAACAACCCAGACCGCCAGCUAAGGUCCCAAAGUCAUGGUUAAGUGGGAAACGAUGUGGGAAGGCCCAGACAGCCAGGAUGUUGGCUUAGAAGCAGCCAUCAUUUAAAGAAAGCGUAAUAGCUCACUGGUCGAGUCGGCCUGCGCGGAAGAUGUAACGGGGCUAAACCAUGCACCGAAGCUGCGGCAGCGACGCUUAUGCGUUGUUGGGUAGGGGAGCGUUCUGUAAGCCUGCGAAGGUGUGCUGUGAGGCAUGCUGGAGGUAUCAGAAGUGCGAAUGCUGACAUAAGUAACGAUAAAGCGGGUGAAAAGCCCGCUCGCCGGAAGACCAAGGGUUCCUGUCCAACGUUAAUCGGGGCAGGGUGAGUCGACCCCUAAGGCGAGGCCGAAAGGCGUAGUCGAUGGGAAACAGGUUAAUAUUCCUGUACUUGGUGUUACUGCGAAGGGGGGACGGAGAAGGCUAUGUUGGCCGGGCGACGGUUGUCCCGGUUUAAGCGUGUAGGCUGGUUUUCCAGGCAAAUCCGGAAAAUCAAGGCUGAGGCGUGAUGACGAGGCACUACGGUGCUGAAGCAACAAAUGCCCUGCUUCCAGGAAAAGCCUCUAAGCAUCAGGUAACAUCAAAUCGUACCCCAAACCGACACAGGUGGUCAGGUAGAGAAUACCAAGGCGCUUGAGAGAACUCGGGUGAAGGAACUAGGCAAAAUGGUGCCGUAACUUCGGGAGAAGGCACGCUGAUAUGUAGGUGAGGUCCCUCGCGGAUGGAGCUGAAAUCAGUCGAAGAUACCAGCUGGCUGCAACUGUUUAUUAAAAACACAGCACUGUGCAAACACGAAAGUGGACGUAUACGGUGUGACGCCUGCCCGGUGCCGGAAGGUUAAUUGAUGGGGUUAGCGGUAACGCGAAGCUCUUGAUCGAAGCCCCGGUAAACGGCGGCCGUAACUAUAACGGUCCUAAGGUAGCGAAAUUCCUUGUCGGGUAAGUUCCGACCUGCACGAAUGGCGUAAUGAUGGCCAGGCUGUCUCCACCCGAGACUCAGUGAAAUUGAACUCGCUGUGAAGAUGCAGUGUACCCGCGGCAAGACGGAAAGACCCCGUGAACCUUUACUAUAGCUUGACACUGAACAUUGAGCCUUGAUGUGUAGGAUAGGUGGGAGGCUUAGAAGUGUGGACGCCAGUCUGCAUGGAGCCGACCUUGAAAUACCACCCUUUAAUGUUUGAUGUUCUAACGUUGACCCGUAAUCCGGGUUGCGGACAGUGUCUGGUGGGUAGUUUGACUGGGGCGGUCUCCUCCUAAAGAGUAACGGAGGAGCACGAAGGUUGGCUAAUCCUGGUCGGACAUCAGGAGGUUAGUGCAAUGGCAUAAGCCAGCUUGACUGCGAGCGUGACGGCGCGAGCAGGUGCGAAAGCAGGUCAUAGUGAUCCGGUGGUUCUGAAUGGAAGGGCCAUCGCUCAACGGAUAAAAGGUACUCCGGGGAUAACAGGCUGAUACCGCCCAAGAGUUCAUAUCGACGGCGGUGUUUGGCACCUCGAUGUCGGCUCAUCACAUCCUGGGGCUGAAGUAGGUCCCAAGGGUAUGGCUGUUCGCCAUUUAAAGUGGUACGCGAGCUGGGUUUAGAACGUCGUGAGACAGUUCGGUCCCUAUCUGCCGUGGGCGCUGGAGAACUGAGGGGGGCUGCUCCUAGUACGAGAGGACCGGAGUGGACGCAUCACUGGUGUUCGGGUUGUCAUGCCAAUGGCACUGCCCGGUAGCUAAAUGCGGAAGAGAUAAGUGCUGAAAGCAUCUAAGCACGAAACUUGCCCCGAGAUGAGUUCUCCCUGACUCCUUGAGAGUCCUGAAGGAACGUUGAAGACGACGACGUUGAUAGGCCGGGUGUGUAAGCGCAGCGAUGCGUUGAGCUAACCGGUACUAAUGAACCGUGAGGCUUAACCUUACAACGCCGAAGCUGUU
rnacentral:rRNA from 1 species